GACGAACGCUGGCGGCGUGCUUAACACAUGCAAGUCGAACGGAGAGGCCCUGCUUUUGUGGGGUGCUCGAGUGGCGAACGGGUGAGUAACACGUGAGUAACCUGCCCUUGACUUUGGGAUAACUUCAGGAAACUGGGGCUAAUACCGGAUAGGAGCUCCUGCUGCAUGGUGGGGGUUGGAAAGUUUCGGCGGUUGGGGAUGGACUCGCGGCUUAUCAGCUUGUUGGUGGGGUAGUGGCUUACCAAGGCUUUGACGGGUAGCCGGCCUGAGAGGGUGACCGGACACAUUGGGACUGAGAUACGGCCCAGACUCCUACGGGAGGCAGCAGUGGGGAAUAUUGCACAAUGGGCGGAAGCCUGAUGCAGCAACGCCGCGUGCGGGAUGACGGCCUUCGGGUUGUAAACCGCUUUCGCCUGUGACGAAGCGUGAGUGACGGUAAUGGGUAAAGAAGCACCGGCUAACUACGUG
rnacentral:rRNA from 1 species